UACGGAGGGGGCUAGCGUUGUUCGGAAUUACUGGGCGUAAAGCGCACGUAGGCGGCUUUGUAAGUUAGAGGUGAAAGCCCGGGGGCUCAACUCCGGAAUUGCCUUUAAGACUGCAUCGCUCGAAUUGUGGAGAGGUAAGUGGAAUUCCGAGUGUAGAGGUGAAAUUCGUAGAUAUUCGGAAGAACACCAGUGGCGAAGGCGACUUACUGGACACAUAUUGACGCUGAGGUGCGAAAGCGUGGGGAGCAAACAGG
rnacentral:rRNA from 1 species